rnacentral:antisense_RNA from 1 species
ACAUGGUCUACUUACUCAAGGAUUUCUAGGAGAAAGCAACACUUUCGCAAUUCUAUUGUUCAGGAAAUGGAGCCUGAAAACCUUCCAUCGGGUCGCCAGCGAGUGGCCAGCGGCGGGAGAGCUGCGUGGGAGCUUUGAGAGCCGGCUGCUUCUCCCUGGCGGUUCCUUUGUGAUGGCCCUGAACAGAGCAUGAGGUGUCCACAGAUGUUGUACAGGUAGUAUCCUUCCAGUUCAGGGGGAAAAAAAAAAAAAAACAAAACCCAACCCAGCCCUGCCUGCAAUAUUAUUUUUAGUCCUUCCCUCCCCAACUGGCAUAACUCGGUAUAAAUUAUGUCUUCAACAAUGUCGAAUUCCCCCUCCUGCCUUCUAUUCUUUUAAAAAAAAUUGUCACUGUUGUGUUCUACAAAAUCGUCAGCCCUCCCCAAACUUUGCUUUCUGUGGAGGAAAGUCACCCGUGGAAUUUCUCUUCCUUGCUCUCUUGGAUUGCAGCAGGCUGGGCAAAGCCACGUGGCCACGCCAGGGCAGCUGGGGCUGAGGCGGGGCAGCCCAGGUGGGCGGGCAUCAUGUGUAGGAGUAAUCUAU